rnacentral:rRNA from 1 species
UACAGAGGUCCCGAGCGUUGUUCGGAUUCACUGGGCGUAAAGGGUGCGUAGGUGGCAUGGUAAGUUUGAUGUGAAAGCUCAGGGCUUAACCCUGAAAUGGCAUUGAAUACUACUGUGCUGGAGGUUUGGAGGGGGGACUGGAAUUCUUGGUGUAGCAGUGAAAUGCGUAGAUAAUCAAGAGGAACACCAGUGGCGAAGGCGAGUCCCUGGACAACACCUGACACUGAGGCACGAAAGCUAGGGGAGCAAACAGG